UGGCCCAGCACUAGGUGGAGGAAGCAGAGCAGCAACUCAGGCGCUCCCGGGGUGACGGUCCCCGCGGCACAAUGGCAGUUAGAGGCACCUCCUCCGCCUGGACACAGCAGGUGCAGCCCUAAAAGGAAAAAUAAGGUAAACUAUUCGGAAUGCCCCACGGAAGGCUUUCAUGGACAGCAUCGCCCGCCUGCCACGUGGACACUGAAUCAUGUUGUGAUCAGUUGCUGCACGUUCAGGUCGUUCUGCAUCGGGAGGCGCAGCGAGGACGUCCGCCCGGUGUGUUUACGCAGCGGCUCCUCGGGAGCGCCACUGUGUGACGGCAGCGCGAGCGUCAGACCCGACGGACAGAUUUGUGCCUGUGAGACGUUUUCCCAGACAGAGCAAGAGUCUCGUCACCCUUCCAAACAACAGAAGGAGAAGGAGCUCCCCUGCACAUCACACCUGUGUGAGGGUAACUGUUCUGUGUGGUGGAGUGAGCUGGUGUCCCGGCUGUGCAGCAGGACAACCCCUGCCCGCCGCCUCUCGGAAUGCGGGACAUCUGGGGGAGUCCCGUGUGUCAUGGGGCGUCUAACCUCCUGGCCUCCCUGCUCCUGCUGAGAGAGUCCAUGGCAUUGGAUACACACUUUGCAGGUGCAUCUGUGCUCUGGGCACAUGAAAGUUGCUUUCCUUGUAAGUAACGAAGGCCCAGCUCACGCCGGCUGGAACAGCCCAGGGCUCUUCAUCUGACUCAUCCCCACACCCCGUGGCCGAGCAGGAUGGCUGGCCUGUCGGCCCUCUGUCCAGACAUGGGUGCCACCCGAGGAGGAGGAGGAGUGACUCGGAGAUGCCCCGUGUGCCGGCCUCACUGCAAGAACAGGGCAGUCGUGGUUGGCUACAUGCAUCGGGUCCGCCCGAGGACAGCCAUGCGGGACCCGGUGCCGAGGGAAGAAGCCCCCGCCCCCCCCCCCCCCCCCCCCCCGCCAUGAUCCGGUGAGGACACAGGAUUCCCCGUGCCCCUCAGACCUCAGGGCUGAGACGUGCAUCCUGCCCCGUCCCCAGGCAGGGAGCACGUGGGCUGGGAGCACUCCUGCUGUGUUCAGGCCCCGCCUUAGCCGUGGUCGUCACACACCUAGUGCUCGGUGAGGUUCCGUGAACCAGGGGCGGUGGCUGGUCUCACCGUCUGCCCUUUGGACUUUGUCAGGCGGAGGCUGACCCGCCGGCCACACGUCCCCCUCCCUGCCAGCUUACUCACCUCCUCCCUCUGGAUAGCAGGGUCACUGUCACUCCUGCUGGGGACGCUGGGGAGAUGGUCACUGUAAGAGCAGAAUCCUCCUAGGAACACACUGAAGGGGCAGGUCCUUUCGCGGAGAUGAAGACACGGCCGGUGAGGGCUGGAGAAGUUCAGCGGCUUAGAGAAGAGCAGGGAUGUGGGUGGAGCCACAACAUGAGGGCGGAGGCCACAGAAGGGACUUGGGGACCAGGGGAGGCCCCGCUGCAGGUAGGGAAGGGGCGGGCCCAGCCUCCUGGGUGUCCUUGGUGUCAUCAGCUGUGCUGUGCGCCCCACCGCAUCCUUCCUCAUUUGCAUAAAACUCUCCUAAAUACCUGCGCCUUGUGACAG
rnacentral:lncRNA from 1 species